CAGCAGCCACGGGAAUACGAAGGGGGCUAGCGUUGCUCGGAAUGACUGGGCGUAAAGGGCGCGUAGGCGGCGGCCAAAGUCAGGCGUGAAAUUCCCGGGCUCAACCUGGGGGCUGCGUUUGAAACUUGGUUGCUUGAGUGGGGAAGAGGGUCGUGGAAUUCCCAGUGCAGAGGUGAAAUUCGUAGAGAUGUGGAGGAACACCAGUGGCGAAGGCGACUCUCUGGUCUGUAACUGACGCUGAGGAGCGAAAGCGUUGGGAGCGAACAGGAUUAGAUACCCCUGUAGUCCCUGUCUCUUAUAC
rnacentral:rRNA from 1 species